AAAAUCGAGGAGGAGUUGGUAGCGGGGGGUUUGGUUGAGCAACAACGAGAGGAGCGAACAGUCCUUACUCGCCUUAGGCGGAGGAAGGCUGCGGCGCUUGGGUCGGGCGCUUUUCUGAGGCAACAGUGAAUAACCCCGCAGUGUUUUUGCCAAGGGAUACCUUGGCUGUUUCUUUUUCUCUCUUCCGUGUUCCCCUUGUUAACUCCAAGGCCGCCACAGCAGCUGCGAGGGGAAAGAGUGUGUCUGCGUGUAUCAUUGGCAAGCGGGGGCGGUCUCUCCUUGUCAGUCACUGUAUCCGCGCCUUGCUACAAACAGAACGAAUAAGGAGGAAGGGGGGGGAGGAAGUAGCUCCAGGGCGAGGAUCGCGCCUGCGUGUCCCUUGUAGCAGUUCUAUCUAGGCACGUCUCUCCAUGCGGUGCUGCGGCCAACCGAGGCUGGGAGGGAGGAGGUGAGAUCUGCCCGGCGUCCUUUGAAUCCAGAAGGUUUGUUGCCCACUACGACGGAAAAGAGUAGCUCGGCCUUCGUCUCGCCCACCUCCAGGCCUUGCGUUGCUUUUCGGUGAUGGAGGAGUAGCUGUCGCUUGGCUUGGCAAAGAAAAGGAUUUCUCUCAAUUCCCCCCCUUCUUGUUAAAUCGCGAAGCUUGGUAGAUGGGUGUUCUGUCAGAAGGGCUACCAUUUUGAAAGUUCCAAACACCACGUGUUCGCAAGUGCCGCCGACAGUGCCUUUUAAUCUGGGAAUGUACCCGCCUGAGAAUUCUCUGUAGAGGGGAUAGGAAGCAAAGGAAGAGACUGCCUUUAAAUUCGAACGUAUGUUCCGAUAACUUUACCUUAGAAUGCAGAAAAUUGUUUCUUCCCAUCAUGAUUAAGGAGCAAGAUGGGAGAAAAAAACCAUGUGGAUCAACUUGACAUCUAGAUUUUCAGAAAGUUUCAUUCCUAUACCUGACCGUCUGAACAUCUCCCCUGGCUCUUAAAGCAGUUGCUAAAUUGGAGCAUAUGUGUGAAAUGAGUUUGUUUACAGGAAUGGUUGGGAACCUCAAGCCUGGGGGCCAAAUGCAGCCCUCCAAACCCACAGGACUCUCCCGAGGCCACACCUGCUCAUCCAUCUUAAAGUUGACCAAGGCUGAGAAGUGUGGGCAAUUAAUCUCUGUACAAUGAAAAUGGAUGGGGAAGGACAAUAUAUCAUCAAGCUACCGCUGUUGGGAAAGGGCAGUAUAUUCAAGGCCCAGCCAAGCUGUCCUCCUCUCUCAGCUUGCAACAAUUGUGCCUUGACGAUCCAUGCAGCUUAUGGCUUGGAAGUGCAGCCAUGAAUAAAGGAAAAAAAUGUAUACUAAUGUGUGAGGCAUCACAAUGUCAUUUUAAUAAUAAAACUUAACACCAAGUAAAUGCAAAUCUUAUAGUAGUGAGAUCACGUCUAUUGGAUGUUCCAGCUGUACAGCUGCCUAGUGCAGAUAUGCUAUUAGAAUGGUGUGAAUAUGAGACAAUCUUCUAUCUUGUAAAAGCAAAAUCACUGUACACCUGAUCUGUGUAUAACUAAUCACCAUGGCAAUUAUAGGAUGCUUGUGUUAUCAA